rnacentral:tRNA from 1 species
GCGUGUGUAGCUCAGUUGGUUAGAGCACGGGACUUUUAAUCUCUAGGUCGGUGGUUCGAGCCCACCCACACGCACCA